UCAAAACAAAACAUCAGUCUACAUUAAGCUUGGGGGAAGGCUUCAAUGCAAGACCAUACAAAUUAGAAAUUACAAUACAAACGUCUCGGACUCGCAGUCUUGAGUUUAACAGUCAAAUGCCUCAGAUAUUUCACUCCAAACUAUAAACUGAAAAGCGCAAACAGUUUUAGUUCCUCUCAAGAGUUGCCAUUGGAAGACUUUGUUGUAACAAGGAAAGCAUGGGUUCGAUUGCAAAGAAGGGGUUGCAGCAGUACUUGCUUCAGCAUCAGCAUCAUCGUCUCAGAACUAAGUGGGGUUUUGUCAGCGAUCAGGGACAUAGUGUCUCGGAAGCUCACCGGGAUUCAGAAACGUCAGUUAAGACGUCUGCUUCUCGAAGUGCUUUUUGGAGCUGUUUAUCAUGGACCAUUUGGGCACUUCCUGCAUUUAUUACUUGAUAAGAUUUUCAAGGGGAAGAAGGAUUCAAAAACAGUAGCCAAGAAGGUAAGGCUACUCUACUUUCCUUCACGCUCUGGUUUUUGUUGAGAAAUCCGUCCUACACUUCAUAUUAAUUAUAGCCAUCGUUAUUUAAGUGCCAUAACUUCUGAUCUCUUCCUCUUCUUAAACCAAAAAGGUUGUGCUCAUAAAGAAGAAUUCAUUGGUCGUUCUAAAAUUCCUAAUCAAAUUACUAUGUCUUGGUUGUGGAAGGUAAGUAUAUAAUAUGUCAAAACUUGUGAUCAAUUGUUUAUGUUUGACAUGUUGGCAUGUGAGAAAUGCAGUGGUUCCUAUCAGCCCUUAAAUUUGAUUAAGAUCUAAGCGUUGCAUGAUUUGUAUAUCAGAUUAUAAUGUUAUUAGUCAAACAACUCUGAAAGUUUCAAAGUCAGCCUGAAAGAGGCAUGUUAGCAUGUGGACUUUGCUGCUUAUUGUGUGAAACACAGGAAGACCCUAGAUGCAUGUGAAGAAUAAAAUUAAGAAGUACUGCCCGUCAGUGCAAUACAUAUUGUGGACGUUCUGGCCUGUUCUGGGUUGGAUAAAUCACCAGUAUGUGCCACUCCAUCUCCGUGUUGUCUUCCACAGCUUGGUCGCUUUUGGCUGGGGAAUUUUCCUAAACUUACAAGCAAUAUAUGUGGCAUUACCAAGGGCUAAGUGAAGUGACGGAAAUCUUUCGAUUGGACUCAGAUAAUUUGUGCUCCCUCCAAGUUACAUAAUAGUAGAUAUAAUAAGUCCUGGAUCCCUUUUUCAUGUGUGCUGGAUCUUGUGAACAGCAUUAUAAAUUUAAGCUAUGUUUAUUAUUUUUUUGGUAAGCAAGUAUGAAUUGACAUGCUGCACACUGGCAACCCUUCCAAAUUUAAGCUGUAAAUUGCUUACCC